rnacentral:rRNA from 1 species
UGCGUAGACGGUUAUGUAAGUCGGAUGUGAAAGCCCCGGGCUCAACCUGGGAAUUGCAUUCGAGACUGCAUAGCUAGGAUGCGGAAGAGGGAAGCGGAAUUUCCGGUGUAGCGGUGAAAUGCGUAGAUAUCGGAAGGAACACCAGUGGCGAAAGCGGCUUCCUGGUCCAGCAUCGACGUUCAGGCACGAAAGCGUGGGGAGCAAACAGGAUUAGAUACCCUGGUAGUCCACGCCAUAAACGAUGACAACUAGACGUUGAGAGGGUAAGCCUCCCAGUGUCGCAGCUAACGCGUUAAGUUGUCCGCCUGGGGAGUACGGCCGCAAGGUUGAA